rnacentral:rRNA from 1 species
GCCCAGCUUGCUGGGUUGAUUAGUGGCGAACGGGUGAGUAACACGUGAGUAACCUGCCCCUGACUCUGGGAUAAGCGUUGGAAACGACGUCUAAUACUGGAUAUGAUCACUGGUCGCAUGGCCUGGUGGUGGAAAGAUUUUUUGGUUGGGGAUGGACUCGCGGCCUAUCAGCUUGUUGGUGAGGUAAUGGCUCACCAAGGCGACGACGGGUAGCCGGCCUGAGAGGGUGACCGGCCACACUGGGACUGAGACACGGCCCAGACUCCUACGGGAGGCAGCAGUGGGGAAUAUUGCACAAUGGGCGAAAGCCUGAUGCAGCAACGCCGCGUGAGGGAUGACGGCCUUCGGGUUGUAAACCUCUUUUAGUAGGGAAGAAGCGAAAGUGACGGUACCUGCAGAAAAAGCACCGGCUAACUACGUGCCAGCAGCCGCGGUAAUACGUAGGGUGCAAGCGUUGUCCGGAAUUAUUGGGCGUAAAGAGCUCGUAGGCGGUUUGUCGCGUCUGCUGUGAAAUCCCGAGGCUCAACCUCGGGCUUGCAGUGGGUACGGGCAGACUAGAGUGCGGUAGGGGAGAUUGGAAUUCCUGGUGUAGCGGUGGAAUGCGCAGAUAUCAGGAGGAACACCGAUGGCGAAGGCAGAUCUCUGGGCCGUAACUGACGCUGAGGAGCGAAAGCAUGGGGAGCGAACAGGAUUAGAUACCCUGGUAGUCCAUGCCGUAAACGUUGGGCGCUAGAUGUAGGGACCUUUCCACGGUUUCUGUGUCGUAGCUAACGCAUUAAGCGCCCCGCCUGGGGAGUACGGCCGCAAGGCUAAAACUCAAAGGAAUUGACGGGGGCCCGCACAAGCGGCGGAGCAUGCGGAUUAAUUCGAUGCAACGCGAAGAACCUUACCAAGGCUUGACAUACACCGGAAACGGCCAGAGAUGG